GAUGAACGCUGGCGGCGUGCCUAAUACAUGCAAGUAGAACGCUGAAGGAGGAGCUUGCUCUUCUGGAUGAGUUGCGAACGGGUGAGUAACGCGUAGGUAACCUGCCUGGUAGCGGGGAUAACUAUUGGAAACGAUAGCUAAUACCGCAUGACAACAGUUAUUGCAUGAUAACUGUUUAAAAGGGGCAACUGCUCCACUACCAGAUGGACCUGCGUUGUAUUAGCUAGUUGGUGAGGUAACGGCUCACCAAGGCGACGAUACAUAGCCGACCUGAGAGGGUGAUCGGCCACACUGGGACUGAGACACGGCCCAGACUCCUACGGGAGGCAGCAGUAGGGAAUCUUCGGCAAUGGACGGAAGUCUGACCGAGCAACGCCGCGUGAGUGAAGAAGGUUUUCGGAUCGUAAAGCUCUGUUGUAAGAGAAGAACGAGUGUGAGAGUGGAAAGUUCACACUGUGACGGUAUCUUACCAGAAAGGGACGGCUAACUACGUG
rnacentral:rRNA from 1 species